AUUGAACGCUGGCGGCAUGCCUUACACAUGCAAGUCGAACGGCAGCGGACCUUCGGGUGCCGGCGAGUGGCGAACGGGUGAGUAAUGCAUCGGAACGCGUCCUGUAAUGGGGGAUAACCUGGCGAAAGUCAGGCUAAUACCGCAUACGUCCUGAGGGAGAAAGCGGGGGAUUGGCAACGACCUCGUGUUAUAGGAGCGGCCGAUGUCGGAUUAGCUAGUUGGUGGGGUAAAGGCCUACCAAGGCAAAGAUCGGUAGCCGGCCUGAGAGGGCACACGGCCACACUGGCACUGAAAUACGGGCCAGACUCCUACGGGAGGCAGCAGUGGGGAAUCUUGCACAAUGGGGGAAACCCUGAUGCAGCGACGCCGCGUGAGCGAUGAAG
rnacentral:rRNA from 1 species